AUUGAACGCUGACGGCAUGCUUUACACAUGCAAGUCGAACGGUAACAGGGAGCUUGCCCCGCUGACGAGUGGCGAACGGGUGAGUAAUGCCUAGGAAUCUGCCUGGUAGUGGGGGAUAACGGCCGGAAACGGGCGCUAAUACCGCAUACGUCCUACGGGAGAAAGCAGGGGACCUUCGGGCCUUGCGCUAUCAGAUGAGCAUAGGUCGGAUUAGCUAGUUGGUGCGGUAAUGGCGCCCCAAGGGUACGAUCCGUAACUGGUCUGAGAGGAUGAGCAGCCACAAUGGGGCUGCGACACGGCCCAGACUCCUACGGGAGGCAGCAGUGGGGAAUAUUGGGCAAUGGGCGAAAGCCUGACCCAGCCACGCCGCGUGGGUGAUAAAGGCCUUCGGGUCGUAAAGCUCUGUGGGGAGGGACGAACAAGGUUGGAGUUAACACCUCCGGCCCCUGACGGUACCUCCUUAGCAAGCACCGGCUAACCAUGUGCCAGCAGCCGCCGUAAUAC
rnacentral:rRNA from 1 species